rnacentral:rRNA from 1 species
UCCAGGAUGAACGCUAGCGACAGGCUUAACACAUGCAAGUCGAGGGGAAACGACAUCGGAAGCUUGCUUUUGAUGGGCGUCGACCGGCGCACGGGUGAGUAACGCGUAUCCAACCUGCCCACCACUUGGGGAUAACCUUGCGAAAGUAAGACUAAUACCCAAUGACGUCUCUAGAAGACAUCUGAAAGAGAUUAAAGAUUUAUCGGUGAUGGAUGGGGAUGCGUCUGAUUAGCUGGUUGGUGAGGUAACGGCCCACCAAGGCGACGAUUGGUAGCCGGACUGAGAGGUUGAACGGCCACAUUGGGACUGAGAUACGGCCCAGACUCCUACGGGAGGCAGCAGUGGGGAAUAUUGCACAAUGGGGGGAACCCUGAUGCAGCGACGCCGCGUGGAGGAAGAAGGUCUUCGGAUUGUAAACUCCUGUUGUUAGGGACGAUAAUGACGGUACCUAACAAGGAAGCACCGGCUAACUACGUG